UACGUAGGGGGCUAGCGUUAUCCGGAAUUACUGGGCGUAAAGGGUGCGUAGGUGGUUUCUUAAGUCAGAGGUGAAAGGCUACGGCUCAACCGUAGUAAGCCUUUGAAACUGGGGAACUUGAGUGCAGGAGAGGAGAGUGGAAUUCCUAGUGUAGCGGUGAAAUGCGUAGAUAUUAGGAGGAACACCAGUUGCGAAGGCGGCUCUCUGGACUGCAACUAACACUGAGGCACGAAAGCGUGGGGAGCAAACAGG
rnacentral:rRNA from 1 species